rnacentral:tRNA from 1 species
GCAUUGGUGGUUCAGUGGUAGAAUUCACGCCUGCCACGCGGAGGCCCGGGUUCGAUUCCUGGCCAAUGCA